rnacentral:rRNA from 1 species
AGCUCCAAUAGCGUAUAUUAAAGUUGUUGCGGUUAAAAAGCUCGUAGUUGGAUUUCUGUUGACAACGGCCGGUCCGCACUAUGUGCGUGUAUCUGGUUCGGUGUUGGCAUCCUCGUGGGGAUCGUUUCUGUGCUUGAUUGCAUGGGGCGGAAUUCACGACUUUUACUUGAGGAAAUUAGAGUGUUCACGGCAAGCUAUCGCUUUGAAUACAUUAGCAUGGAAUAAUAAUAUAGGGCGUAAGUUCUAUUUUGUUGGUUUCUAGGACGUACGCAAUGAUUAAUAGGGAUAAUUGGGGGCAUUCGUAUUAACGCGUCAGAGGUGGAAUUCUUAGAUUGCGUUACGACGAACUACUGCGAAAGCAUUUGCCAAGGAUGUUUUCA